UUUACCCUGCGGUGUUCGAGAUUACUGGUGUGAUUCCCGAACCGAUAUUUCAUAGCUAAAGGAGGCUUGGCUGCAUGGGGAGAUGACAUGCCUUAAUUGGAAGUCAGAUGCUCAUGUGGCGGUCGUCCGCCCGUUACCGAAAGGGAACGGGAUAUCCGCCUAAACGGCAUUUGUGGGGUAAUA
rnacentral:other from 1 species